UAGGGAAUCUUCGGCAAUGGGGGGAACCCUGACCGAGCAACGCCGCGUGAGUGAAGAAGGUUUCGGGUCGGAAAGCCCUGUUGGUAAGGAAAAACGGGGGGGAGAAUGGAAAGUUCAUACUGUGACGGUACUUAACCAGAAAGGGACGGCUAACUACGUGCCAGCAGCCGCGGUAAUACGUAGGGCCCGAGCGUUGUCCGGAUUUAUUGGGCGUAAAGCGAGCGCAGGCGGUUAGAUAAGUCUGAAGUUAAAGGCAGUGGCUCAACCAUUGUAGGCUUUGGAAACUGUUUAACUUGAGUGCAGAAGGGGAGAGUGGAAUUCCAUGUGUAGCGGUGAAAUGCGUAGAUAUAUGGAGGAACACCGGUGGCGAAAGCGGCUCUCUGGUCUGUAACUGACGCUGAGGCUCGAAAGCGUGGGGAGCGAACAGG
rnacentral:rRNA from 1 species